GACGAACGCUGGCGGCGUGCCUAAUACAUGCAAGUAGAACGCUGAAGGAGGAGCUUGCUUCUCUGGAUGAGUUGCGAACGGGUGAGUAACGCGUAGGUAACCUGCCUGGUAGCGGGGGAUAACUAUUGGAAACGAUAGCUAAUACCGCAUAAUAGUAGAUGUUGCAUGACAUUUGCUUAAAAGGUGCAAUUGCAUCACUACCAGAUGGACCUGCGUUGUAUUAGCUAGUUGGUGGGGUAACGGCUCACCAAGGCGACGAUACAUAGCCGACCUGAGAGGGUGAUCGGCCACACUGGGACUGAGACACGGCCCAGACUCCUACGGGAGGCAGCAGUAGGGAAUCUUCGGCAAUGGACGGAAGUCUGACUGAGCAACGCCGCGUGAGUGAAGAAGGUUGUCGGAUCGUAAAGCUCUGUUGUAAGAGAAGAACGAGUGUGAGAGUGGAAAGUUCACACUGUGACGGUAUCUUACCAGAAAGGGACGGCUAACUACGUG
rnacentral:rRNA from 1 species